rnacentral:rRNA from 1 species
UGAACGCUGGCGGCAUGCCUUACACAUGCAAGUCGAACGGUAACAGGUCUUCGGAUGCUGACGAGUGGCGAACGGGUGAGUAAUGCAUCGGAACGUGCCCAGUAGUGGGGGAUAGCCCGGCGAAAGCCGGAUUAAUACCGCAUACGACCUGAGGGUGAAAGGGGGGGAUCGCAAGACCUCGCGCUAUUGGAGCGGCCGAUAUCAGAUUAGCUAGUUGGUGGGGUAAAGGCCUACCAAGGCAACGAUCUGUAGUUGGUCUGAGAGGACGACCAGCCACACUGGGACUGAGACACGGCCCAGACUCCUACGGGAGGCAGCAGUGGGGAAUUUUGGACAAUGGGCGCAAGCCUGAUCCAGCAAUGCCGCGUGCAGGAAGAAGGCCUUCGGGUUGUAAACUGCUUUUGUCAGGGAAGAAAUCUUCUGGGUUAAUACCCCGGGAGGAUGACGGUACCUGAAGAAUAAGCACCGGCUAACUACGUGCCAGCAGCCGCGGUAAU